rnacentral:rRNA from 1 species
UUAACUGAGAGUUUGAUCCUGGCUCAGGAUAAACGCUGGCGGCGUGCCUAAUACAUGCAAGUCGUACGGAAACACUUCGGGUGUCGAGUGGCGGACGGGUGAGUAAUACGCAGGAAUAUACCCCAAAGUGAGGGAUAACUAUCUGAAAAGAUAGCUAAUACCGCAUGUGAUCUUUGGAUUAAAGCUUUUUAUGAAGCGCUUUGGGAAUAGCCUGUGGCGGAUUAGCUAGUUGGUAAGGUAAAGGCUUACCAAGGCGAUGAUCCGUAGCUGGUUUGAGAGGAUGAUCAGCCACACUGGGACUGAGACACGGCCCAGACUCCUACGGGAGGCAGCAGUAAGGAAUUUUUCGCAAUGGACGAAAGUCUGACGGAGCAACGCCGCGUGCAGGACGAAGGUCUUCGGAUCGUAAACUGCUUUUGUUAGUGACGAAUAUGACGGUAACUAACGAAUAAGGAUCUGCUAACUACGUGCCAGCAGCAGCGGUCAUACGUAGGAUCCAAGCGUUAUCCGGAUUUACUGGGCGUAAAGAGUUGCGUAGGCGGUUAAUUAAGCGAUAUAUGAAAGCGUGUGGCUUAACCAUACAAUUGUCUAUCGAACUGGUUAACUAGAGUCUAGAAGAGGUCACCGGAAUUUUUAGUGGAGGAGUGAAAUCCGUAGAUAUUAGAAGGAACACCGAUGGCGUAGGCAGGUGACUGGUCUAUGACUGACGCUCAGGCACGAAAGCGUGGGUAGCGAACGGGAUUAGAUACCCCGGUAGUCCACGCCGUAAACGAUGGAUGCUAGCUGUCCGAGGUUCAACCCUUUGGGUAGCGUCGCUAACGCUUUAAGCAUCCCGCCUGUGGAGUACGAGCGCAAGCUUAAAACAUAAAGGAAUUGACGGGGACCUGCACAAGCGGUGGAGCGUGUUGUUUAAUUCGAUGAUAAGCGAAGGACCUUACCAAGGUUUGACAUCCUACUAAGUCUUGGGAAACUAAGAUGUGCCUUUUGGCUGUAGUGACAGGUGAUGCAUGGCCGUCGUCAGCUCGUGUCGUGAGAUGUUGGGUUAAGUCCCGCAACGAGCGCAACCC